rnacentral:tRNA from 1 species
GGCGGCAUGGCCGAGUGGUAAGGCGGAGGACUGCAAAUCCUUGUUCCCCACUGUGGGGUCCUGAAGCACAAGGGGAUUUUGCCA